UGUGCUAAGGUAGCAUAAUAAUUAGUUAUUUAAUUGAUAACUAGAAUGAAAGGUUUGACGCAGAGAAAAUCUUCUUAUUAUAAAUCUAAAUUAAUAUAUAAAUAAAAAAGUUUAUAUUCUUUAGAUAGACGAUAAGACCCUAAAACCUUUAUUGAUAAACCUUUGAAUAUCUUUUUACUGGGGCGGAAAUUAUAUUAACAUAAUUUAAUCUAACACUUUAAAUGACACCUUAUAACUCUUUAAAAUUUCAAAAAGGUACUUUAGGGAUAACAGCAUAAUUUUUAUUUAGAGUAAACCUAUCGACAUAAUAGAUUAUGACCUCGAUGUUGAAUUGAUAACCACUUGCUAAGCAG
rnacentral:rRNA from 1 species